UCCUCCCUCUGGCGGCGUGCUUAACACAUGCAAGUCGAACGGAAAGGCCUGCUUUCCCUUGUGGAUUGCGGGUACUCGAGUGGCGAACGGGUGAGUAACACGUGAGUGAUCUGCCCCCAACUUGGGUAUAAGCCUGGGAAACUGGGUCUAAUUCCCGAUAGGACUGCAGGGUGGUGCCUGUGGUGGAAAACGAUUUUCUAGUGGUUGGGGAUGAGCUCGCGGCCUAUCAGCUUGUUGGUGGGGUAAUGGCCUACCAAGGCGGCGACGGGUAGCCGGCCUGAGAGGGUGGACGGCCACAUUGGGACUGAGAUACGGCCCAGACUCCUACGGGAGGCAGCAGUGGGGAAUAUUGCACAAUGGGCGGAAGCCUGAUGCAGCGACGCCGCGGGGGGGAUGACGGCCUUCGGGUUGUAAACUCCUUUCGACCGCGAGGAAGCCACCUGGUUGGAAGGGUGGUGACGGUAGUGGUAGAAGAAGCACCGGCUAACUACGUG
rnacentral:rRNA from 1 species